AGCGGCGUCUAGCGGGAGAGGUCCCUCUGCUUACUUGCCCCGUGGCCACUCCCAGCCCGUCACAGGCACUGCAGGGCACUUGCCACGAGCCCCAGGUGGCCCUCGGAGCACAGCAGGGAGGCUUCUGAUCCUUUACAGGCAGCCGUGGUCCACCCCGGCCAUGCAGCUCUGGGGUUUGCUGUUCCCAGUGUAAAGCCUCCAUCGAGCAGAACGCAGUGAUUUCUCUGGGUUCUGGAAACCACCCGCUCACACGUGUAGCCAUUUUAACACUGACGUCGCUGAAGAGAUGCUGCAUCUCACACGGCUCCCCUGUGCGGCGUCUCACUCCUGGUAGCGUGUAUUCACCACAUUUGCAGGAAAUGCCAAGGCGCCCGUGUUACUGGACUCGGUCACCUCCGCGGUGACACGUGGCCAGCCCCCAGCGUGGAGGCACACCUGGGGCCCGGCUGUCACCGCGGUGUCGGUGAAGACCAGGAGGCCAGGCUCACACCACUGCCAUCCCUCCCACGGACACACCACCUCUCUGCCACCCAAAUGCCGGACACUGGGACCCCCAAAACCAUUCUGGGGUCCACUUCUUGAAGUUGGUCUCUUCUAGAAUGUUCUUUAAGAGGAAGCAUGGACUGUGACCUCUGGAGCCGGCCCUUUCUCGCUCGCCGUGUGUCCCCAGACAGCCACCGAGGAUGAUGGAGCGGCAGCCGUGGAUUUCCUGUGACCGAAGAUGCCCACCGUCUGUUAAUGGCGUUUCUAUUAACCUGGGAGGCUGGCAGAGAGAGGGAGAGGCCAGAACCAGGUGCGUUAGGCGCUGAGACAGGCGGGGCAGGGGGAAGGGGCGGUCGGCAGGACAAUCCGGACGCCGCGCUGCUCUGCCGCUCUCCGCUCUCCGCCCUCC